rnacentral:piRNA from 1 species
UCAGCCCAGUUGGACAUGCUCAGACACUC